UAUACACAUGUGCUCCCCCUUCUCAGCAGAUAGCAGGUUUAGGGCCCUUUGGUUUUGGAGGGCGACUCCCGCAAGGGAAUUUAUCUGCCUUUGGAGGCUUGUAAUGGAAGUACGCAUGUCCUCUAGGAUAUUAGAGAGGACUGUAGAGAUUUUUUAUAUAGGGUAGUUGAGGUUGAUGUAUUUGCUAUUCUGGUAGCAAGUGCAGCAGAGAUAUUUAUUCCUGUUUCCAGAGGAAUGAGAUGUAGAGCCCUCAUAGCACACGUAGGGGAAGAUGAGACAGAAGUUACUAAAGGAACCUGGAUGGCCUGGUUGUUUGGCAAAAUGUUCAUGUUUGAAGAUUGACAAACCAGGGUGCACGUUCCUGACCCAUCGGCCAGUAGGCAAGAUAAGAGUUUGCGCCACACAGAAAAGACUGGAGGUUGACAAGCAAAAGUUAUAAGUGAAGGUCACAAACCAUGAAAAGGUGGGGGUUGAAUCCUGGAAAAAAUUUUUGGCCCAACCUUUUUGUUUUUUCUAGGUUGAAUAGCUAUUAACAAUUGUAGCCACUAUGAGAGCCUGAUAGGGAAUGUUGGCCAGGAAGGAGGCGAAGGCUGUUUGGCCUUGUAGAGAGAGAGAUAAAAGGGUUUUUGUUAACUAAUAGCCAAUGCAGUCCUGAUAGGGCAGAAGGAUGUAGGCUGCAGUUGAGGGAAUUGUUUGUGCAUUUUUUUCCAGGAAGCAUCUGCGAGUUGGAUACAUGGAGUGCAGCUUCAGCAGAGAGGGGAGAGAUUGAGACAAGGUCUUACUUCAUCACCCAGCUUGGAGUUCAGUGGCAUAAUUGCAGCUCACUGCAACCUUCACCUUCCAGGUUCAAGUGGUCUUCCCACCUCAGGCUCCCAAAUAUCUGGGACCACAGGAGGAAAUCUCUUCACUGCUGCUGCUGA
rnacentral:lncRNA from 1 species